rnacentral:rRNA from 1 species
ACACGGCCCGUACCCCAAACCGACACAGGUGAUCAGGUAGAGAAUACCAAGGCGAUCGAGAGAACUGUGGUUAAGGAACUCGGCAAAAUGCCCCCGUAACUUCGGGAGAAGGGGGACCAUGCCCGGUGAACAUCUUCACGGUGGGAGCUGGGUGUGGUCGCAGAGACCAGAGAGAAGCGACUGUUUACUAAAAACACAGGUCCGUGCGAAGACGUAAGUCGAUGUAUACGGACUGACGCCUGCCCGGUGCUGGAAGGUUAAGAGGACCGGUUAGCCGUAGGGCGAAGCUGAGAAUUUAAGCCCCAGUAAACGGUGGUGGUAACUAUAACCAUCCUAAGGUAGCGAAAUUCCUUGUCGGGUAAGUUCCGACCUGCACGAAUGGCGUAACGACUUCUCUGCUGUCUCGACCACAGACUCGGCGAAAUUGCACUACGAGUAAAGAUGCUCGUUACGCGCGGCAGGACGAAAAGACCCCGGGACCUUUACUAUAGCUUGGUAUUGGCGUUCGAUUCGGUUUGUGUAGGAUAGGUGGGAGACUGUGAAGCAUGCACGCCAGUGUGUGUGGAGUCGUUGUUGAAAUACCACUCUGAUCGUAUUGGACGUCUAACCUCGGCCCAUGAUCUGGGUUAGGGACAGUGCCUGGUGGGUAGUUUAACUGGGGCGGUUGCCUCCUAAAGAGUAACGGAGGCGCCCAAAGGUUCCCUCAGCCUGGAUGGCAAUCAGGUGUUGAGUGCAAGUGCACAAGGGAGCUUGACUGUGAGACUGACACGUCGAGCAGGGACGAAAGUCGGGACUAGUGAUCCGGCACCGGCAAGUGGAAGCGGUGUCGCUCAACGGAUAAAAGGUACCCCGGGGAUAACAGGCUGAUCUUCCCCAAGAGUCCAUAUCGACGGGAUGGUUUGGCACCUCGAUGUCGGCUCGUCGCAUCCUGGGGCUGGAGUAGGUCCCAAGGGUUGGGCUGUUCGCCCAUUAAAGCGGCACGCGAGCUGGGUUUAGAACGUCGUGAGACAGUUCGGUCUCUAUCCGCCGCGCGCGUAAGAAACUUGAGGAAGGCUGUCCCUAGUACGAGAGGACCGGGACGGACGAACCUCUGGUGUGCCAGUUGUUCCACCAGGAGCAUGGCUGGUUAGCUACGUUCGGAAGGGAUAACCGCUGAAAGCAUCUAAGCGGGAAGCCUGUUCCAAGAUGAGGUUUCUCACCACCUUGCGUGGUUAAGGCCCCCUACAGACCAUGGGGUUGAUAGGCCGGAACUGGAAGCGCAGCAAUGCGUGGAGGUGACCGGUACUAAUAGGCCGAGGGCUGAA